GAUGAACGCUGGCGGCGUGCCUAAUACAUGCAAGUCGAGCGAACAGACGAGGUGCUUGCUCCUCUGACGUUAGCGGCGGACGGGUGAGUAACACGUGGAUAACCUACCUAUAAGACUGGGAUAACUUCGGGAAACCGGAGCUAAUACCGGAUAACAUGUUUAAACGCAUGGUUCAACAGUGAAAGACGGUAUUGCUGUCACUUAUAGAUGGAUCCGCGUCGAAUUAGCUAGUUGGUAAGGUAACGGCUUACCAAGGCAACGAUCAGUAGCCGACCUGAGAGGGUGAUCGGCCAAAUGGGAACGAAGACACGCUCAAGACCCCGACGGGAGGAACCAGAAGGGAAUCUUCGGCAAGGGGGGAAGGCCUGACGGAGCAAGGCCGGGGGGGUGAAAAAGGUCUUGGGAUGGAAAAACUCUGUUAUUGGGAAAGAACAAAGUGGUAAGGAAAAAUGCACGACGUGACGGUACCUAAUCAGAAAGCCACGGCUAACUACGUG
rnacentral:rRNA from 1 species